rnacentral:rRNA from 1 species
AGAAUCAACGCUGGCGGCGUGCCUAACACAUGCAAGUCGAACGAGAAAGUGGAGCAAUCCAUGAGUAAAGUGGCGACCGGGUGAGUAACACGUGACUAACCUACCUUCGAGUGGGGGAUAACCUCGGGAAACCGAGGCUAAUACCGCAUAACAUCGUGAGAUCAAAGCAGUAAUGCGCUGGAAGAGGGGGUCGCGGCUGAUUAGCUAGUUGGCGGGGUAAUGGCCCACCAAGGCGAAGAUCGGUAGCCGGGCCCUGAGAGGGGCGCGACGGACCGACGACCUGGUAACGUGAAACACGGUCCAGACUCCUACGGGAGGCAGCAGUGGGGAAUUUGCGCAAUGGGGGAAACCCUGACGCAGCAACGCCGCGUGGAGGAUGAAGUCCCUUGGGACGUAAGCUCCUUCGACCAAGACGAUAAUGACGGUACUGGUGGAAGAAGCACCGGCUAACUCUGUGCCAGCAGCCGC